CCUACGGGAGACAGCAGUGGGGGAUAUUGCACAAUGGGGGGAACCCUGAUGCAGCGACGCCGCGUGGGUGAAGGAGUGCUUCGGCAUGUAAAGCCCUAUCGGCAGGGAAGAAGCAAGACGGUACCUGACUAAGAAGCCCCGGCUAACUACGUGCCAGCAGCCGCGGUAAUACGUAGGGGGCGAGCGUUAUCCGGAUUCACUGGGUGGAAAGGGAGCGUAGACGGCCAUGCAAGCCAGGGGUGAAAGCCCGGGGCCCAACCCCGGGACUGCCCUUGGAACUGCAUGGCUGGAGUGCGGGAGGGGCAGGCGGAAUUCCUGGUGUAGCGGUGAAAUGCGUAGAUAUCAGGAGGAACACCGGCGGCGAAGGCGGCCUGCUGGACCGCGACUGACGUUGAGGCUCGAAAGCGUGGGGAGCGAACAGGAUUAGAUACCCUUGUAGUC
rnacentral:rRNA from 1 species